CGAGUGUUUAAAUAAUAUUUCGCCCAUUGUUACGGUCACAAAUCGAAAUAUCUCUCUUGCAAUUUUCAUCGCAAAAUGAAUAUUGUUUCUUGAGAAUCUGAAACAUAUAACGUAAAAUUAAAGUUAUAUUAGAUAACAAUAAUGAUGAUGAUAACAACCAGCUUUCCCAUGCGGGUCUAUUUUAUCGAAGUGAAGCAAUAUUACUACACAAUACUGAUUAUCCUUUUUUUCUUCUUCCAUUCGUCAUUUCUUAUUUAGUAUGUAUGAAUAAAUGAUAGCCUCGUGUGCGAAAAAAAGCUUUGAGAAAUUGUAGAGAAGACAAUGUUCCAAAAAGUCUCAAAUCUAAAUACUAACUACUGUUCACUCAAGGCUUCACACAAGCGCUUCACAUAACUAAUGAUUCACUUUGACACGUCGUAGGAGUACGAUACGUUGCUAUCUAUAUGUGACAGCAGCUUUGAGUAGAAUGCCACGGGAAAUUGUCGCCGAGUUACGCAUGCACAGGUGUUUCUCAAGAUAUCACGUGUGUCUGCUGCCACAUGUCCGUCUGUUUUUAAUAUCGUUUUUCUGCUCGAGAUCUUUCUUCGACAGUCUUCAAAUAGAUCCAAUUUGAUACUGCCUUGAUCGUAAAAUUUUUUAUUUUUGUUUUUUUCAUAUUCCGUACAUUAUUUGCGCAUAAUAUAUUAUUUGAGUCGUUGCAUAUAAAAUAUCAGCUUGUCAUCAAUAAUCACUGUCAGAUAAGUUUUAAAAAAAAAUAAAA